AAUACUCAUCUUGCCUGUGACAUGUAGAGAGCCAGUAGGAGAGAUAAAGGGAGGUGGGAGAGAGAGAGAUGGCCAUCUUCAAUGCUAUCAUUUGAGUUUCUGGAUACAGCUAUCCUGAAGGUAGGUAGAUUACUUCUACAAGCGAAUAGAAAUAAUCUCUAUUCUCUUUCUUUCUUUGUUUCUUUCUUUCUUUGUUUCUUUCUUUCUCUUUUCUUUCUUUUUCUUUCUUUCUUUCUUCUUUUUCUUUCUUUCUUUCCUUCUUUCUCUCUCCCCUUCCUUCUUUCCUCCCUCCCUCCCUCCUUCUCUCUCUCUCUCUUUCUUUCUCUCUCUUUUCUUUCUUUCUCUUUCCCUCCCCACUCCCUUCCUUCCUUCCUUCAUUUGUUCGUUCGUUUGUUCCUUCCUUCCUUCCUUUCUUUUCCUAUAACUACUUUAGAUUUUAUUCCUGCCACUUGUAACUGAAAGAGAGCCAAGUAAUAUGUGUCUCACUCAAUUUUGCAUCUCUAGCACACCCAGCACACAGGAGCAUGCAUGUUCAAUGAAUGUUUGAGUGUCUUUAGAAAGAAAUAAAGUUGCCAGGCACGGUGGCUCAUGCCUGUAAUUCCAGCACUUUGGGAGGCCAAGGCAGGUGGAUCACCUGAGGUCAGGAGUUCGAGACCAGCCUGACUAACAUGGAGAAACCCCGUCUCUUCUAAAAAUACAAAAUUAGCCAGGCAUGGUGGUGCAUGCCUGUAAUCCUAGCUACUCAGGAGGCUGAGGCAGGAGAAUCGCUUGAACCCGGGAGAUGGAGGUUGCGGUGAGCCGAGAUAGUGCCAUUUCACUCCAGCCUGGGCAACAAGAGUGAAACUCAGUCACAAAAAAAAAAAAAAAAGAAAAAGAAAAGAAAAGAAAAAAAUAAAGUUGGGGUGAAUGAAGAAAGUGCGUUGUUGGGCAUUUAUCAGCUCUCUGUGUCGGGCACUUUAUAUAAAUUAUUUCAGUCAUUAUAGCACUGCAGUAUUAGGACUACGAUCUCCACUUGAAGUUUACAUAAAAUAAGGAAGAAAGAGCUCCCGGUGAAAGUCCAGACCUUCAGAUGUGGGAUGGAGCCUUUGAGUCAGUCUCUCUCUGACACCUCAGAAGCUGGUCCAUCGGAUGUCUGCUCCUCACAGUGGCCUUUGUGUGCUGGCCCCUGGCCUUCUGCGGGAGCCCAGACCAGAGUUGUGGGGCUCUCUGUACCACAUCCAUGCUUCCCCUUGGAUGUCAGGAGGAGGUCUCUUACCAGGGGCUGAACACUGCAAACAUAGAAGUGAGUUCUCAGGUCCCCGACUUCCCCUCAUCCACUUCUCUCCAUGAUCCUGUGUCCUUUCUCAUUGCUUGACCUAGUCCACACCAGCUCCACCAAAUUCACAUCCCAAAUUUCUGUUGCUCAGUGGAUCCAAGAUCAGGCCAAAGUGAAAUUCGUUGGGUGCAGCUGUGGGUCCCUGGAGUCCAGAAGUUUCAUGGUGUGAGAGGGAGGCCACUGUUGGUAGAACAGGAUGGGGGUCCUGAAGUUGUAUCUGAGCUCUGUAUUUGCAUUUUCACCACAACUUAAAUGACCUCAAAUGACAGGGUAGGAAAGACCUCAAAAAUCAUCUAAAGAAGCACAACCUGGAGUGCUUCCUGACAUUCCCUGACCCCGGCUCCCAAACUUGAGAGAGACAGUGCUGAUCACUCAAAGCACUUCUUCCUGCUGAGCUCAGAUACACUUUCAGAUCUUUCCCACGCAGCGCUGUGGGCUGCCCCAUCAGUCACUGGGAGGUGGCUCACAAAAAAAAGUACUUGUCCUCAGACCUGGUUCAAGACCCUCAUUUUUUGCUAUUGUGAAAAUAGAGAUCCAGAAGGGUGAAAGGACUUGUCCAAGGUCGUGCAGCCCAGCUGGAACUUGAAAACAUACCUUUUGAUUCUCUUAAGUCUACUGUUCUUUCUUCUGAAUGUGCUGACUUAGUACCAUUAGUAUAUGGUAAUAUGCCAACCCAAUUCAAACUCUACAUAUGCUUCACUGGAAAAUCAAUCAAGCAAAUUGAUAGAGCUCCGUGUUGUGGAAAGAACACUGAGCUGCGAUUUUAUCUCUGGUCUGGCAAUAAACCAGCUGUGUGACCUUGGGUCAGUCAAUUCACUUCUCUGAGUCUCAGUUUCCUCAUCUGUCUAAUUGUGGGGGCAGGGUGAUUUUUAUGAUCUGUAAGGUACCUUUAAAUAUUAAUAAUCUGUGAUUUCAUUUGCCCAGAAUUAUGCCAGACAUUUUUCUAGCUAUAAAUAGACAGAAGAGAAGACACAACCAUACAAUACAAGAAGCAACAAAACAUUAAUAUAAUUAAUAUAACUUUUAAUUUAUAUAAUUAAGGGCCAGGAGGUGUGGAACUUACUGAGGCCCUCUGGGAGUUAAGAGGAGGGAGUUCUGAGUGGUAGGGAGUUGUCUUUGUGGAAAGGAGAAUUCAGCCUGGCCCUAGAGGAUGGGUGGUAGAUAGGGGACAAUGGCACUGCAGGCAACAGGAGGAAAAUAAAGUGGCAGCAAGGUGAGAUACGCAGUGUGUGUUUAGGAACAGAACAGCCUGACUGGAGAGGAGGUGGAGGAAGUCUUAGGAAUGCUUUAGGGAGUCAGAGGUGAGCAUGGAGCCCAGUGUCACAUGGAAUGUGGAGGAGAGGUCCUAUUCUCUACAGAGACCUAUAGGGGAAUCUUUUGUUUUGUUGAAUAAAAGGUGAAAAUGAUAGAGAUUCAACUCAAACUGGCUUAACCAAAACAGUGGAUUUGUUAACUCACACAAUCAAAAACCCCAGGUUAGACUUCAGCUGUAAUUGGACCCAGGGGCUCAAAAAAUCUCACUGGGAAUGUGCCCUUCUCCGUUUGUACUUUCUUCUGUGUUGGCCUCAUUCCCAACAGCCAUUUCCAACUGGUGGCAAGAUGGCGCCCAGCAGCUCCCAACUUACAUUUUACCACUUAAGACUGGUGGAAAGAGAGCUCCUUAUUCUGCCAGUUUUGUGAAAGUCCUGGGGUGGAUGCUCAUUGACCCAGAUGUGAUCUCGUUCCCAUCUCUGAACCAAUCACCAAGGCCACGGGCGGGAUGCAAGGCCCCGAUGGACCAGGCCUGAGGCACAUGCUCAUCCCUGGAGCCGGAGAGUGGGAUCUUCCCCAGAGGAACUGGGGAAACUGAAAAUGGGAUGGGAUGAUGAUUCCUAGAGAAAAAUCAUAGGGCCACUAUCAAAAGUAGGAGUGGAGGCAUCCCGGACAGGCAAACUCAGCAGAUGUCCAGCACCAAGAGUAUUUCAUCAGGCUUCAUGUGGAAGAAACUAGGCUGUGUCUUUAAGACAGAGCCAGACUAAGCAGUAAUUCUGCAUAGGGGAACUCAGUUACUCAACUCUAAAACCUGCUGGGCAAGGGUUCUGAGAGGCCGCAGUGAGGUGGAUGGGACGACAGCCUCGGGGCAGGUCUCAUCUUUCUUACAUUAAUACUUCUUGGAGAGACUCAGCAGCAGGGCAGGAAUUUGUUAAAUUACAUAAACAUUAUUGUGACCCGUAAAAUUCAAUGAAUCUCGGCCUGUUUACCCUCGGCUGGCUUUAAUGUUUGCACAGUGUAAUUUAAUGUGUCAAUUUGCUCUCAAAUAAAAAACAUCUGGCCCUCUGACAUGCCAAAGAAACCGGAGAGCUGAUGUUCAAAAUCAGCUAAAAGUCCCAAUCAGGGAUGAUGUUUUGAGGAAGAAAAAAAAAGGCAAGAGGCUCAGAAAAGGAAGCCAAGAGUGUUAGGAUCCAUUCCUGGCGGAGUGACAACCCUCUGUUUGUGAGUCUGUAAGAUCAGUAAAUUUUAUCCUAAUUAGAAUUAAGAAAAGCCGAGAAGAGCACAUACCAUCUUUAACUGGCACCCAUUGUGCAAUUAAAUUUCCUGUGGCUGUCCCUGCCAAUAUUGACAUUCAUGCUAUUGGAUUUUUAACAAUCUUAUUAUUUUGUAAUUGAGAGGAGCAAGAAGAAAAUUAUGCUUUUCUGUAUAGAUGAUCUUCCCAGCUAAAGUACCGCUUCCUACAGCAGUUGGCCUGCCUAAGCUCUUUCCCUCCCUGGGGGUUGGUGGUGUUUGGGGAAGAGAAGGGGAGGGGGGACUGGCUGAGUGUGUGGUUUUCCAGUAAGAUCAUCUAUGCGGCCUGUCUUGCUUUGGUCUCCAGUAAAUAAUGGUACUGCUCACUCCUGCAGACAGAGGCAGGGCUUGGCAGGCAGGUCUGAGUUGGAGGCACUGACCUACAUAGAGCAGGGGACAGGGGAAACAGGUGGGGCAUUGAAGGCCUUUCAGGGACACCCCUACCUGCUGCUGGUGGCUGCUCAUUGAUUCUGACUGCUGGGGCCUCCCCAGGAGCUGGGCAGGCCGAGGUGGCCCGAGGGACACUUUAUCCAUCUCCCUCUCCGGCAGCUCUCUUUCUUAGCACCCAAGGCUGGGCCAGGCUGAAGGAACCAGGGAGGGAUGGUUUCCACUCCCCAGUUUCUCACCCCAGUAAAUGCUUGAGACAUCCUGAUGAAAAAGAGUUCGGCCUGGAGCCCGGGCAGCCACCCUGCUGGAAGGAGCGGAGCCUGCUUUCCUGGCUGUGGAAUGACGGGGUCAAAGCGAGUUCAGGCUUUGCUUUAAUUGAGUAGAAGAUAGUUCUUCCUUAAGGGAGCCCUGAAACAGUGCUUCGGCAGAGCAGAAUGACUUCCCAUAUUGUCAGAAGGGAUUAGCCUGGCUGGUUUGUAAAUAAAGAGUGAUCCUUCUUUCCCCUCUAGGACAAACAGAUCAUAUUUUCUUCAGAUCACCAGGGCCGGGGCUCCCUCUAAUCAAGUCCUUGACAUUUCAGUAAGACUCAAGGAGUUACAUGUUUUCCAUGAUUGUGCCUUUGGUAAUUACCCAUUUUCCUAAACGAUUGCUAUUUUCCAAAUUCAAAACGUUUUGAGGAAGUGGGAAAAUGAAAUGUCUCUCCAAUGACGUGAAGAUGAAGGGGAGGGACAGAGGUGGAGGUGCGGAAAGGAGCAGGUCUCUUGAGGCUGGGACAACAUCAUCCUAAUAAGCACCACGGAACAGAUCCCUGGACCACUGAGGUGCUUUCUAAUCUAUUCAUUUUUCCAUUCCUUUGGGAAACAAUAGUUUCUGAAGCCCUUGCCAGGUGCCAGACGUCAUGCUGGCCACCGAGGGCAGAGUAAGACCUGUUUCUGCCCACUCCAAGGAGCUCCAGUCUAAUGGGAAAGACCAGCAUGUAGGCUAAUUACAACAACAAAACGUCUUGAAAAAUAAACGUCAUGGAAUCCCCAAGUAAACAGCAAAACAAAACAACAAGAGAAAAAUGAAACGAAACCAAACCAAAAACCAAAAGCUUUGUCUGAGUAGAACAAGGAAGUCUUCACAGAGGAGGUGAUGCGGUGUCUCCCAGGAUGAGUAGGAGUUGGCCACCCUAGCAAAACGGUAACAGAAAUAGCUAACCCAAAAUGUCUGGUGCUAUUCUAAGGGCCCUACACAUACGCAUUCAUAGAAUCCUUACAAUCUUAUGAGGCAGAUGCUUUUUUCUUUAGCUAUCCUCCUGCCUUGGCCUCCCAAAGUGCAGGGACUAUAGGCAUGAGCCACUGCACCCAGCCCAGAUGCUAUUUUUACCCCAAUUUUCAGAUGAGGAAGCUGAAGUGCAAAGACAAGAGAAGCUUUCUGGACCAGGAAAUGGCAUGUGGGAAAGGACACACUCCUGGGAAAGUAGGUUGUGUUGAUGGACAAUGGGGAGGGGCUCCUUUGAAAGGUGUGGGGAAGUAACCUGCUCAGAUUGUUUUUAGGAGAAUGACAGCACAGUGGUGGAGGAGCCAGACUGAGAAGGAACAAAAGGCCAGCAACAAAAAUAAGGCUCCCUUCCAACUUCCAAUCACCACGUGCUCCUGUCAUCUCCCUACCCCACCCUGCAUCAGCUCCCAGGAAGGGAGCUGAAACUCAGGCCUGCUUCUGUGGGCACCAAAACCUGACUUAGUACGUGAUCCUCCCUUCCAUCCUCAUCCCCAUAGAUGGGCAUGGAGAAUUAGUCCGCAGAUCAAAGCCAAAGGGUGUUGUCUCAUGGCACUGAGGUGGGGGUAACCCUUAUGACUCCCAUAGGAAGCCCUAUGGAAGGGGACAAAAGCCCCCAAGGCUGAACCUACCCAGGAGAGCCAGGGCUCUGCUGUGACAUACUGUGGCCACACAGAGGAAGAGUCCUUGCCUUUCUGGGUUGGCUUCUGCUUUCUUGAAUGAUCUUCAUUUGCAUCCUUUCCUCUUGAAUAAUCCUCCCUUCACCAAAUCUAUCUAUCUACCUCCUGCAGCUUGUGUCCACUCCAAACACAGUUGACAAGAAGUCUUGGCAACACAGCCUAAAGAAACACUAAGCAAAUUGUUCCUUGUCGUCCUGACCUUUGUAAGCCAAGAGCUCUACUUUAUAACUUGGGAACGCACAAAUAUUUACAGUUGUAGGGAAGGGAGCCAAUGGCUGCUGGAGGGUCCUAGAAUUGGAAGGGAGCUGAGAGCUUGUCUAGCCCAGCCUCAUAUUCACUAUAGGAAUGCCCUCCACAGAGCCCUUGGCAGUGGUCACCCAGCCUCCCCUUCCUGGUCCCUGUGAUGGGAAGGAAGGUCAUCUUCCUCUGAGAAAGUGCUUUCUGUUGAUCUUAUCGUUGGAAAGUUUUUCUGACAUUGAGCCAGAACUGCCUCCCAGUAACUUUGCCCUUGGUUUUGGAUGGGUCUCUAGGGCCUCACAGCUUGGGUAUCUUCUUUCCCACGACAGCACGUUAAAGGCUAGAACUCAGCCUCCCUGUCUGCCUUCCGUUGUCUGUUCUUCCUCAGUUCCUUUGUUCUUUUCUUGGGGGCCUUCAUUCAUUGGUCCCUCAUCACUGGGGUCACCUUUCCUUGCCAUGUCCAACACAUCCUAGUUGGUCAAUGUCUGUCUUAACAUACGAUACCCCCAAAUUCAUCACAGCACUACAGUUGAAUUGCUUUCUAAGAUCUGAGCCCUGUGCCAUUAAUUCCUCAUCUCUAAAACUCAGCUUAGCUAUCCAGGCCAUGUAAGCCAGAGAAGAGGGAAGGAAUGAAGUCUUCUUGAACCCCUGCAAUGCUAGCCAAGUUCUUUCUAAACACUCAGGGCUCAGAACUGCCCCAGGAAGUAGAUACUCUCCUCUUUGUUUCACAUAUGGAGGAACCUGGUUUUCUGACAUAGAACUGAAAAUAAGGAAGUAAGCAAAACAAGUCUUUAAGGACGCUGAGCAGAGGCCAGAAAGUCACCCGGAGUCUAUUAUUUACUCUUCCUUUACAUUCAUUUCUGCCAAGAUUUUAUUUAGUAUCAGGAGAACUGAUUUUAAAUCCUGGCUCAGCCACUUUCUAGCUGUGUGACCUCAGGAAAGUUAGUGUCUAAGGUGACUAACCAAUCCCAAAUUGCCCUGGUCUGUCCUGGUUUUAAAACCGCAAAUCCCAUGUCCUAGGAGAUCACUCCAUUCUGGGCAAAUUAGCACAUGUUGGUCACCCUAUUCAGUCAAUUUUCUCUUUGUGAUAUCAGGAUAACAGUAACCCACCUCACGAGGUUGUUAUAAUUUUAACUGAGAUAAUAUAUUUGGAAGACCUGGCAAUGUGCCUGGCACAUAGCAGAUACACAAUUAAUGUUCUGUUUAAUUUGAAAGCCUAGUUAAUUAUGACAAAUUAGAAAGAAGUCAAAGACUGAGAGGUGGCCAUGAGCAGUUUAACUGGAAAACCAUUUUUAAAAACACCUAGAAACAUAAACGGAGACACAUAGUAGAGGGUCGUACCGUGAGGGUCUCAAUGUCCUCUGUACUGUGAAUAUCUCACUGGAGUUCAAUGAGCCAUGGUAAUUGUCGUCCUUGAGUGGGACUCCGCAGGACAGAGGAAUAACUAAAUCUUCUGCAUUAUACUAUGUGUGAUAAGGCAGGGUAAGGUGGGAUACAUUGUGGAGUAAGUGCCACAUGAAAUUUAAUGAAGUCUUUAGAUCUUUAAGCGUAAGUAUUCAACCCUCUAACAGGAUGGCAACCAACCAGCAUGGCAGAGGGAAGGAGGACUGAAGAGGGUCCCAGGAGAGCCUGAGUCUGCAGUCAGCUCACUGCCUAACUAUAGACAGAUUGUCCUCACAGUUCCGGUCCUGUCUCCUCAUCUGUGAAAUGGGGAAGAGAAAGUAGACAAGGUGUUGUCUAACAGAAAGGCAACAGAGUGGGGUGGUCAAGAGCACGGAUCCACCACCCACUAGCUGUGUGAGCUAGGACAAGCAAGCAAAUCCACCCUCUGCACCCUGCUCUCCUGGCCUGUAACCUCGUAGAGAUGUUGUGAAGAUUUUAUGAACUGAUGUACUUCCUGGUGCAUGUUGAGUUCUCAGUAAGGAUCAGUUCUUAAAGUUAGUAUCCCUUCUGGGUAUCGCACUCCAUGACAAAGAGUAUCAUCUCUUUCUCUCCCCUCAUCACCAAGGGUUAAUGCAACAUAAGCUUUCGCUUGAGUGUUUUGUAAGUUUCUUUUCCCUCCCCAGCCCGCCACAUCACUCAGCUGGCUCACGUUGAACUUGAGGCAGACUAAAACCUCCUGAUCUUUUUUUAUGUGAAUUGCAGUCCAGCCAGGUUGCUCUCAUCCUGUUCUUGUGCAACUGAUUUUUGGAAACUACAUUCAAGACAUUAGAUUUAUUGAUGCUACAUUUCAUCUGGUUGCUUUUGACCCAGCAUUCUUGACUGUCGAGAUCAUCUUGAACCUUAAUUCUCUCAUCCCCUCCAGCUUUGAGUCAUCUGCAAAUUUAAUGCAUAUGCUUUCCAUAUCUUCAGAUCACGGGCUUAAAAAAGCUAUUUUACAGAUAAAAAUAAAGAUAGAGAUAUAGGCCACUAGAUAGAUCAAGAGGGAUCUUGUAUGCCAGGCUGAGCAGUGGGGAUUUUAUCUUGUGGGAAGCAGGGGCUCUUGAUCCUCAAUCAGUUUUUAAGCCUUUUCUGAACAUACCCACUACAGACGCUCGUAUGUUGUCCCUGGAUCUCAGAGUGUUUUCACUGAUGACAACAAGAGUUCACCCCUCAGCCACCCUAACUGUGGCCUCUUCUAAACUACUGAACUCACCGCGAAGGUCUGAAUCCCUUCCUGUCUGUACCACAUGCAGCCCCAAGGCCCAGUCCUAUUCUCCUCCCUCUUGUUGCUUCCCAAACUGAGGCCACCCCUACUUUGGGGCCUAGCCAAAUACCUGUUAUCAAUCCAAGAAAUCAAUUCUCUCUCGUUGGUUCAGGAAGGCAUGGACCAUGAUGACUUUAUGUGCUUCCCACUCACGUUUCCAUUUUUACAGGGGACUUCAGUGUCUGAACUGGAAGGCCAGAGCUGUGGUGGAUCUGCUGGUAGCCACCUAUAGCUGUCUGGAUCUCUGCACUGCCCAGGGCACCACGGGCAUGUUAUAUCACAGCACAGUGCAACCAGCUGGUUCCUGGGCAUGACUACAAGUCGUUAUGAAAAGGCUGAGGACAAGAUGAUAGGGAAAUGUGAAAAGGAAAAUUCUAGAAGUAAUUUUCAUAUAAAUUAAUUUAAAUAACAAAAAAAACAAACAUUUAAGUUUCUCCAGGUAAUCUGGCAACUCUCUGGUACUGUGCUAACCAGGCAACCAUUGGUUAGGGAGCUUCCAAAACUCCGUGUCCACUCCAGGCCCCGCUCCAGCCAUCUGGCCAAGCACACUCAGCUUCAGGACACAAUGAGCAUAGCCAGUCCCUCUUUGAUGUCCUUGGUACCAGAACCUUCCCAUUUUACCCCACAGGACUCCCAGGAUUCCUUUCUAGGGAAGAGUUUGAUGAUGAUGAUGGUGAAGAUGGUAAAGAAGAGCAGUUACCCCUGAUUGAGUGCCUUCUGUGUGCCAGGCAUUGUGCCAGAGCCUCUAAACAAACCAUCUCUAAUCUUUUCAACCUUACGAAGCAUAUUUUUUGUGAUUCCCAUUUUAUAGAGGAGUAAACGGAGGCCCACAGAGAUUAUAGUAACUUGCCUGUGUCCACAAGAAAUAGCAGAACUGGAAUUUGAACUCUGGGUUUCUCUGAUUCCAAAGUCCACUGUAUCCACCACCCUGUUUCUGUAGCUUUCCAAAAGCUCCCACUGUUAUUUUCUCUUUUGACCCAAACAGUCUUACGGGGGUGAUAGGAAGCUGAGAUGAGCAGAACUCUGCCCGUUGCCGAGGCAAAGUGCAGUCAGUAGGCUCACAGGCUCACUGGGGUGGAACUGGACCUGGUACCAGCCUUCUGACUUGUAAUGCAAUGCAAUUUAUCCCUGUGUUGAUAUCCUGAUCGUUGGAAGGGAGCCCAAGGAUGGCUGGGUGGGGAAGCUUUUGCUUUUGGGAAGGUAGCGGUAGCAGGUGGUGUUAAAGGGAAACUGUAGUAAUUGUAUGAUGGCUAAGCAUGGAGGCUCUGGAAUUAGAAAGUACCAGGUUCCAAGGGGCUCCAGCCUCUACUACCUGUGUGAAGUUGGGUAGAUUAUAUUACCAUCGUGAGCUGCCAUUUACAAAUGGGUUAAUGAGAGCUCUUCAGUGAAAUACUGAGUUGAGAGAGAGAAUUUACACAAAGCCAUCGGCACGGUCCAGGCACAUUUCCAGUGCCUAACACACAUCGGCUCGGAUUACCAUUUCUUUUUUUUUUUUGAGGCAGAGUCCUAGUCUGUCACCCAGGCUGGAAUGCAGUGGCACGAUCUCAGCUCACUGUAACCUCCACCUCCCAGGUUCAAGCAAUUCUCCUGCCUCAGCCUCCCUAGUAGCUGGGAUUACAGGUGCCUGUCACCAUGUCCGGCUAAUUUUUGUAUUUUUAGUAAAGACAGGGUUUCACCAGGUUGUCCAGGCGGGUCUUGAACUCCUGACCUCAAGUGAUUCACCCUUCUUGGCCUCCCAAAGUGCUGGGAUUGCAGGCAUGAGCCACCGUGCCCAGCCUAUCGCUAUUUUUCUUACCUCUGUCGUUACAGCAAUCUACAUUCGUAAAUGUUUUCAUAAGUGCCCUUGACUUGCUCAUCCUACGUGGAGGCAUUAUGUCCCCAUUCUACAGACUGGGCAACUGGGCACUGAAGCUACCUGCCCAAGGUGAUCCAGGAAGGACUGAGCAGAGCUAAGCCUUGAGCUCCUGACCCCACGGUGAGCUCCCAUCCCCAGCAUGCUGCAGCUGUUCAUCUUUCCUGGGUCCAGUUUCACAUUUCCAGCAUUUCUCAAAUGUUAAUAUGUGUCUCCAUUACCGGAGAUCUUGUUCACAUGCAGGUUCUCAUUAAGGAGGGCUAGGCGGGCCUGAGGCUCUGCAUUUCUGGCAGUCCUCCGAGGGAAGUCAAAGCCGCUGGUCAUGGGGCCUCACUGUGGUUGAGGGUCUCCUUCAGCUGGUAGGGGUCCCUUGAGCAGGCUCAGAGAAACAAACGGCAAGCCCUGCGGCCCCUGGGACUGGGACCUGCAGGAGCCCUUAAAGUUAGCUUCUAAGUGUGGCCCCCAUAGGAUGAUACUAAGGAGAUAUGGGAUUUGGGAGCCACCUCCUAGCAGGGUUGCCAGGGCCGGCCCUGCCCUCUUGCUCACCAUCUCCUUCUGCUUCCUUCUGACUGCUUCCAUGGGAGCCUGACAACUACAGCAAAGCAUUCUUGAACUCCCACGCUGAGCAGGAGCUACAUGACCGGGUGAGUGUGGGCAGCCUGCAGAGAAGGAGCUGACAUUUGUCUUAAUUGGAGUUACCAUGUAAAUCCCACCUGUCUCCUCCUGGUGCCCAUGGCCUUUGAUGGGCAGGGAAGGGGGCUCUGAACAGAGAGAGGCUCAUAAUGUCCCUGGGGAUACAAGGCGUUAUUAAUGUAGGCUCUGGAAGGAGAUGUUCCCACUUGUCAGCAGGGAAAAUGAGCUGGAAUUGAGUUUAAAAAAAAAAAAGAGAGAGAGAGAAAGAAAGAAAAAGAACACAGGCAUCUAGGCAAGAAGAGUGGCAGAACUCCCCCCAGGGCAGAUACCCUUCUGCCCCUCCCAUGGGUCACCCCUGUCUUUCAAAACCAGCCUCUAACCCAGAGGUUUUCAAACUCAGCUACCAAUCGUCACCUGGGAGCUGUAACAAUUGCUGAUGUCUCUGCCCCAGCCCCAGAUAUCUUUAUUUCAUUGGCCUGGGGUGUGGCCUAUGGAAAUUGGGGUUUUUAAGCUCCCAAGUGAUUCUAUGUGCAGUGGGGUUGCAAAACUGCAGGUUGAAUCUUAGCUUCUCCAGGAAGCCACCUCUGAUUAGCUGAUGCUAAUCUAUGAGCCCAGUGGAACUGUCACCUUUUCUAAUCAGCCAGCCCUGAUGUAUCCAUACAAUUGGAGGGGGAUGGGGUGAAAUAACCCCCAUUAGUGUGAAUUGGUUGAAGAGGACACAGAAGGAUGUAGGAUGUACCUUCUCAUUUCUCUGAGCUUAACUUCCAAAUGAACAAGCAUUUGCAGCUGCUGGACAGCCACAAAAUCAAUUCACUCAGUCAUUUAACCAACAUUCAUUGAGCACCUAUUAUGGAUAAAGAGCAAUGAGAGAUUCACAGCAUAUUUGAUAUAGUCUCUGUAAACCAAAAAUAAAAUUCUAAGUCCCCUAAAUGACGGAAUGGAGCCCCCCUCUUCACCAAGGAGACCCCAAAGAAACUUGAAAAACUAAUUUUGGGAAUGACAGGAAGCAGGGAUUGGACAUACCUCAUUGUAGCCCCCUCUUUUUGGAGUUUAGAUUCAGCUGACCAGCAUUAACAUGAAAACAGAAAUCUGAAGGCUGACAAAACAGACUCUUCAUAGCAAUGAGAUACUAAAUUCCAACCUGACUCUGGUCCCAUGACAAAUAGCAGGCCUUGAAGGAGAUAAAAGUAUUUUACCCCAAAAUAUAUUUCUUUGGCAUAUUUUGAAAUGGCCCCGCAAAGCUCUCUCUUGGGGAAAUUUGCAUUCUGUAGAAAAUCUCCUUCCCUCACUAGCUCUUUCAGGAGAGACUGACACCUGAUAACAGACAUUCACCAUCUUUUCUCUCUGAAUCCUGGAGGCUUCAUCUACAUGACAAGAACCUUGGCUUCACAAUCCUGCCUUAUCUAAACUCAAGGUCUCUUUAUGCUGAAUUCAACUCUUCAGGCAAGGCCUAACUCUCUCAGCCAAUUGCCAAUCAAGAAAUCUUUGAAACCGCCUAUGACCUGGAAGCCUACACUCACCCUACUUCGAGAUAUCCCACCUUUCUGGGCCAAUCAAUAUAUACCUUAUAUGUAUUGGUUUAUUUCUUUGCCUGUAACUUCUUCCGUCUCCUUAAAAUGUAUAAAACCAAGACGUGUUCUCAGGACCUCCUGAAAAUGUAUCAUGAGCCAUGGUCCUUAACCUUGGCAAAAUAAACCUCUCGAUUGAGACCUGUCUCAGAUACUUUCUGGUUUACAAUUCUGCACUUAACUAACUAAAGCCUAAUAAGGAUAGAAUAGGCAAGACCAUAAAUAACAACAACAAUUACAAAACCUGUAGGUGAUAGGCUGUGAGUUAGGGAAAUAAAGAGAUAAUGAAAAUGUAUCUCACACCUAGGAUGUGCAAGGCCAUUUCCGAGUCAACCUAUAUAUGCUACGUCAUUUCAUGUCAGUGACAGAGUCCCAUUUUUCAGAUAAAGGAGUUGAGACUCAGAGGAGCCAGUGGCUUGCUCAUGGUCACACAGCUGGUGCAUGUUGAAGCCUGACUCCAAAGGAGGCGUGAGAGCAUGCUGCCAUGGCAAGAUGAGGAAGGGAUGAGUUCAGUUGCAGGAAUCUGGAGAAACUUCAGGAGGACUCAGGGCUCACUACAAAAACAUGCCACCACCAAGGGGCCUCUCAUAGGAGGGCCCUGUAAGAGGACAUAGCCUCAGGGAAGAAGCAUGUUCCUGGUAAGGCUGAUAGUGGAAGGACAGCUCAGACGAACAGGGAGAGGAGUUGCUGAUUCUGAAGCAGGGAGUCUGGAAGACCAGGGAAGGGUUGGCAGGGAAGGUGUAGGAGGUGGGCUUUUAGAGGGCAUAGAAGUUCAGAGCAGGCAGGGGAGAGAUAGCAGAAGGGGGCAUAUACACCUUCAGUACUGACCAAUUCACACAGCGAUGAGAAGCAUGAGAGCCUGGCCACUGUGAGAAGGGCAGGCCCUGGCUCAGCAUACUUGGCUGAAGUGAAGAGGGCAGACUGCAGUCUGCAGACACAGGCCCUGGGUGAGGGUUGGUGCACAAACCACUCAAGAGAAACUUUGGGCAGGCUGGAUGAGCUGGGCUGCAGGGCAGGGACUCUGUUUUUGACACUGAUAUCUAUCAUCAGUUGGAUGUAAUAUUCAUAGUUUCUGAAUACCCAGCAUGGGGCAGGCAUGGGCCCAGGUGGUUUCUCUCUGACCUGGAAGAGAGACAAGUUUCUGUGAAGUUGAGAGAAUGUAAAUAAUCUCUAUUAGGAUGGUGGUAGUGGUGGCAGCAGUGGUGCUGGAGGUGGUGGGAAUAGCGGUGGUGGGGUGGGGUUGGUGGUGGUGAUGGUAUUAAUGGCAGAUGGUGGUGGAGGUAAGGGUGAUGGUGGUGGUAGUGGUCAUGAUGAGGGUGGUGGGGUGGUGAUGACGAUGGUGAUGAUGAUGGUGAUGGUAGUGAUCGUGAUAGUGGUAGUAGUUAUGCUUGAAUGACUGACACCAAAAUGGCUGCUACCUCUAGCCUCUCCCGUGAUUCAUACUUUCACCUCCCCCGUUGUCAUCUCCUGUUGUAUCAUGUAGGCCUAUCAGUCUUCUACACGCCUGCACUCAAGCCGUUGACCUCCUCUCUUUUCUCUUUGCCCUUCCUUUACUUUCAUCUGUAUUCCCUGGCUUGGGAAACAGCCCCUCUAGUCAGCCAGCCAGCCAGCCAACCAUCAGAGCUGAUGCCCAAGAGUCAAGCUACAUCCUCCAACUAUUCUUAUCCCCAACAGCCAGUUAAUUACCAAGUCCUGAUGCUUUGACCUCUUACUCACUUCUUGAGACCCAUAGUCUUCUCUCUGUCUUACCUGUUCUUGCUUUAUUUGGGACCACAUUACUUCCCCCCGACUAUGGGAAUACCAUCCUGACAGAACUGUGAGAUUCGACUGGCCUUUCUCCAGACCACCCUUCAUCUCAUCAUCAGAGGCAACCUACCCACAGGCAGAUCUGGCCAUGCCAUACCGAUGUCACACCCCAUCUCUGACUUGCAAGUGCAAGGUGGUCCCUAGGCUGCCAAGCUCCAGACCCAUGAAGCUGCAGCACUCUGCUCUAGCAUGACAGAUGCACAUAUCUUUUCUUUUGCUCAUACGAGUCUCUGUCUUGAAAACUUUUCUCCUCCUCUGACUGAUGGACUCCUGUCCGAUUCUUAUGAAGCUCUUCUGCUCCCCUACCCCAGCUGGCAGCAGUGGUGUCUCUCUCUUCUGUGCACUCUAUGCAAUUUCCGGUCUUGCUUAUUUCACUCUGUUUAUUCAUCUGCCUCCUUUGCUAUGCCAUGAACUUCACCAAGAAAAGGGAAAAGGGAGGUCUUGCCCAUCUCUGAAUCUUGAAGACUUAGCACAGGUGCAUACUUGGCACUUCCUGGAUUCAAGACCAGUAAUAUUAAUCCAGAUAACUGUGUGGUACCUGAAAUUAUGCAGAGAGCUGUAUCUCCACAUCAUCUCAUUUGAUUCUCAUCACUCUCAUGGAAAGUUGCAGGGGGCAUUUGCUUUGUUUCACUGAUGGGAACACUGACAUCCAGCAACAAAGGCAAAAUGACUUGCUCAAGGUUGCCCAGGGAGGUUGUGGCUGAGUCAGUCUUUGUCUCAGAUGUCCUGACUCUGUUGUUGGAAACGUGUUGAUUUCACACCAGAAGCUCAUUUUCUUUCUCUCUGAGAUGCUCUAUGGCUGAGAAGUGACCCAUGCACAUAGGGCCUGCCCACUCUCAGCAUGAAAUACCUGUGAUUGAGGAGGGAACAGGGGCUUUGAAUUCCUAGGUAAGGACAGAUAAGGAAGACAAGCAUCUAGAAGGCACAAAGCCAUAAGGAUGGAGAGAACUAGAGAAGAGAUAAGAGUCUUAUCACAAAAUUUUGGAACCUGGAAAGCAGGUAGACAAGUGGUAACAAACUUAGCAGGAGAAAUAAGGAUUCUUGAGCUGGCAUUGGGAAAAGCUGAGAACCAACUUGAUUUACACAGCAGAACCCUUAGAAGCCUCAGGAGCUGGCAGCGUCAGGUACUUCUGGAAGUGAGUGAAGGGAUGGGCCAAAAAUAAGGAUUUGUAAGUGAAAGCAAUUCAUUCAGAGGCUUUAGAACCCCAGAUCCCUGCCUCCACUGCAUACUGCUAGGCAACCACCCAGUCCGUACCAUGGCCAAAGCCUGGAGAUAAAGUGAAGUCUCUGCUCGGAGAUGAGGGGCAUGAGGCUCAGCUGAAAACAGGACGAGUAAGAGAACGUUUUCAUAGUUAAUGCUGAGGUCCCCUAGCCAUCUUCUCUCAUAAUCUCCCAGUAGGCUGCAUCUGGUUUUAUACCCUCUAGGAAAGACACUAGAAACCUCUUUUCUGGGGGGAACGGGCCCAGGAAGGAAGAGACACGAGGGUUCAAAAUUACACUCCUGCACAUCUUUUGUCGGGAAAACUCCUGAAGAACAUAGA
rnacentral:lncRNA from 1 species